GCGUGCCUAACACAUGCAAGUCGAACGGAUUUGAGGGGCUUGCUCCUCAAGUUAGUGGCGCACGGGUGAGUAACGCGUAGAUAAUCUGCCUGAUGAUCCGGGAUAACACUUCGAAAGGGGUGCUAAUACCGGAUAAGCCCACGGGGUCUUUGGAUUCUGCGGGAAAAGGGGGGGACCUUCGGGCCUUCUGUCAUCAGAUGAGUCUGCGUACCAUUAGCUAGUUGGUAGGGUAAUGGCCUACCAAGGCUACGAUGGUUAGCUGGUUUGAGAGAAUGAUCAGCCACACUGGAACUGAGACACGGUCCAGACUCCUACGGGAGGCAGCAGUGGGGAAUUUUGCGCAAUGGGCGAAAGCCUGACGCAGCAACGCCGCGUGAGUGAUGAAGGCUUUCGGGUCGUAAAGCUCUGUCGAGGGGAAAGAAGUGUAUUGUGGCUAAUAUCCGCGAUACUUGACGGUACCCCUAAAGGAAGCACCGGCUAACUCCGUGCCAGCAGCCGCGGUAAUAC
rnacentral:rRNA from 1 species